UCAUAAAAGAGACUUUGGAGACCCAAAGUAGAAUUUGAUUUGUUUAAAAAUAACAACAAAAAAUAAAUAAAAAAAGAUUUCCCCCAUGGGCUGGGGGGGUUAAAAAAAAAAAAGAAGAAUGAGUUGACCUAUUAAGUGACAUAAUUGAAUUCAACACAGCCAAGUUCGAAUAAAUGCUUCUUCUCAUUCAUAGCAUCAGCAUUUUGGCGAAAGGGCAUCGGGAGCAAUUUAUGAAGAAAUAGAAGUGAAACUGUCAAGUUUUGCGAGGUGGUAGUGGGAAGACCCCAAAAAUCAGGGAGGCAGGGAGGAGCGGGGGUGGAUUGACCAAGAUGUAUUCAACAAAAAUGCAAACAGGGGUACCCUUGAAAAAACAAAAAAACAAAAACAACUGAAUUACUAGAACAAAGUCCUGAAAAUCACAAGGAACCAAAGUAUCAACAAACAAAAAACUGUGGCAGGAGCACACUGACACUAAUAGCUCACAACGAUCCAACGAAAGACUGACAGAAUCCAGGCAACUAAAUCCAAACAAAGUGUCGAGACAACAAGAAACACCUGGACAAGACACCAAGGGUCGAGGGAACCGUUUGGUUAAACACAAGGGACACGGAUGACGAGAACAGGUGGAGACAAAAAGGACACACGAGGGCACCAAACCAAAUGUAACCUCAACAAAAAACAUAACCGAAACCCUGAAACCUGAUAUAAAACCCUAACUUUUGUCCUGAACCACACAUUUGCCGCCACAACCUGGGAUUGAGGCCUGAAUAUGAAACCCUCUCACCUAGCUUAAAUGCUAAAACACUAAUCUCCCUUUAAAACCCUUCACUUGCCUUGAAAGUCCAAUUUAAAACCCUAAACCUCGCCUGAAGCACUAACUUCAACCCAUAACGCUGCUUUGAAACCCCACCUUGAAGCCCUAAUCCUGCAUUGAGACCCUAAAACUUCCACUCUAUUUCAUAUCUUCAAGUGAAGGACGCGGCUACUUGCUAUCUGCUUCCCCUUUUGCCUUCCAUCUCCCUCCUGCUAUGGAUGAGCAUCACUCAGUAAGUGAUUGAACCCAUCAAGUCACAAUCGCCGGAGCCCAGAUCUCAUAUCUGCUUCGAAAACACCUCCGAGCUGACCCACUUAUGCAGAGAUUAGACUGUGGUUGCGCUUGCGCGAGCUCGGCGCUACUGUAAAAAGAGCCCAUUCACCGUUCCGAUUCGACACAAGAAAACGCCUCCCAUCUCGGAAUUCUAUAGAAGAUUAAAGUGGCGAGGGGGAUUGGAAGCUUUGGUGCCAGUACACAGAGUUGGAAGGAGAGUAUCACGAGUCGGACCUCACGCCUGACCCCGGACAAGUAAAGCCCCCGCAAGCCUUCUUGCGCCGCUCAACCAAAGUUGCGGCAUCUCUGAUCGACGAGAAUCACAUCACCUAAGGGGAACGCGAUUCAAUGUGACAUCCUGAUAAGCAAAAAAAUCCUUGACAGCCGGGUGGGAUUUUUUUUUCCCACACAGUGUGAAGUCAUAAGCUCAUAAAAGACGCGAGCCAGUGAUGCAAAGCGUGUAGCCUCCUUGUUGCGUUUCUGCAAGGCCAACGGCUCUUUCUUUCUUCCUUUCACUCUCUCCCUCCUUCUUGUUCGUAGCUAUUUGAACACAACAACACAACAAUCGCGUUAUUUUCCAAAAGUGACUUCUCUUGUAUCA